UACAGAGGGUGCGAGCGUUGUUCGGAAUUAUUGGGCGUAAAGCGCUUGUAGGCGGCACGUCAAGUCGCGUGUGAAAAUCCCCAGGCUUAACCUGGGAAGUGCGCGCGAAACUGACGAGCUUGAGUGCCGGAGAGGGUCGCGGAAUUCCCGGUGUAGAGGUGAAAUUCGUAGAUAUCGGGAGGAACACCAGUGGCGAAGGCGGCGACCUGGUC
rnacentral:rRNA from 1 species